AUGCUUGCUCCAGCAGCACACAGACUAAAAUUAGACCAAUCAAGAGAAGAUUAGUCUGGCUUCUGUGCAAAGAUGAUGUGCAAAUUCAUGAAGAAACAAACCUCUAG
rnacentral:snRNA from 1 species